AUCUUCAGAAAGGUUGGCCCCCAAAGUUCCCUGGCUUCUCCACCCUCAUUCACCCUGUUUGGGACAGCGUGGAAGCUGAGAAGAUGGAAAAGCCUCUAGCGGUGGCCAGCUGUCAACCUGCAGGUGCAAACAUCUUGGGGCUUGAGGGGAGCUGGAGUGGGGAAUGGGAGUAGUUGGAGGGGAUUCUUAUACCCCCUCCCCCCCAAAAAACCAUGGGAUGCAAGGCAGAGACCAGUUCCCUUAUAACAGCAUGGCCGUCCCUGUGACAGUUCAGCAUCUGUGAAAUGAGUAUGGUUAGCCCUUUCCAUAGGUUAUGGCCAGGGCAGAAUGAAUGACGGCUGGGUGCUACCCGCCUGCGACAUUUCUGGGCCCCCAACAAGAGCUGGACUGAUGCAGCAGAAUCUGCCUUUGAUCCCCACGAGGAAACUGGCCCAGAAGACACUUUUCCGGGCCAAUGUUUUCUUGCCCACUUGGCUAGAGUUCUCUUUCCCUGUGUUUCUGUUGAAAUACUAGUUUCUAAGGAUUUCCAUUGCUCGCCUGGCCACGCAGCAGUACCCAGUUGGAUCUGUUUUGACACCAGGCCACCAUCCUGUCUAUUCUCUCCGUUGUCACUGUUCCUUCUCUGUAGCUGGCGAAGAGUGGUGGGGGAGGGGAAACAAAGCAUAUUGAACGAGGAUGCUUCUAGAAAAGCUCAUUCCUUUGCCCCAACUCCAUAGGGCUGGGCAGCUGGCUGUUGCCCCAUUUAACAGACCUAAGGCCUUCAUCUCUCGGGGCAACAGGUGCUGGGUAGAAGCAAGAAGAUGGCGAUUGGCCAAAGAUGUAGUCAUGUGACCUUGCUUGGGCCUAUUGCAGGAACAGCCAAGAGAGAACUGU
rnacentral:lncRNA from 1 species